AGAAUGCCCUGUGGGUCUUGCUGCCCAAGACGCGUGGACAGAGUGCUGUGGUGACGGUACUAGCUGUCCUUCCGGAAGUGUGAGCUGACUGUUGGGUUUGGUUGACGCCUGGAGGAGCGGGCUGAAGUCUCACCCAGGGAGUCCCUGCAGACGGACAGUACAGUUCCUGUCUUUAGCCAUUGGCCUUCCAGGCACAGAAGCAGCUUUCCAGCCCUGGCAUCAGACGAUGUCAUAGUAAAGAACUCUUAUGCUCAAAUGACCAGCGACAUGACACCGUGUGGAGAGAGCUGCUAACCUGAGGAAAACGAGCCAGCCGAUGUCUUCUCUGGAUACUUGGUUAAAAAGUUUUGCCAUGUGCUGCCAGAGUGGUGAGGCCAAGGUUGACUGCCUGGGUCUUUUGUGUAUGAUGUUAUGUGACAAUUUUAUCGAAGAAUUUGGUGACAGGAAGAUGUGUUCUCUCCUGAAGAGCAGAUUUCCCUCCAUUAUCAACCAAGAGGAUAAACGAGGGUCUGUGUGUGCUGGACUCUCUGGCUGCCUCAGCGGCGUGGCGAGCAGACAAGUAUCCCAUCGCAACCUCCCCUCGCUCUUCCUCAGUCCGGCUUCUGCACUCUCUGACCAGGUCAUACCUCUUCUGCUGCAAAUAGCUCUGCAUCUUGCCGUGCUUUCUGAGAAGCAGAGAGGAGAAGGCAUGAAAAAGUGCUGGGAACAUGUGAAACGGGCUGUAGCCUCAUGUGAACAAUGAUUUCUUUCUUUUUUUAAAUUUUUUUUUUCAUUGAAUCACCAUGAGAUACAGUUACAAAGCAUUCGUGAUCGGGUUUCAGUCAUACAAUGUUCCCGCACCUUCACCCAUCCUUCACCCACCACCCAUCCUGCUGCUGCUGCUGCUGCUUCUGCUUCCUCUACUUAUUCUGCUUCUUCCUCCUCCUCC